UGGGGAAUAUUGCACAAUGGGCGAAAGCCUGAUGCAGCGACGCCGCGUGAGGGAGGACGGCCUUCGGGUUGUAAACCUCUUUCAGUAGGGACGAAGCGCAAGUGACGGUACCUGCAGAAGAAGCACCGGCUAACUACGUGCCAGCAGCCGCGGUAAUACGUAGGGGGCGAGCGUUGUCCGGAAUUACUGGGCGUAAAGAGCUCGUAGGCGGUUUGUCACGUCGUCUGUGAAAUCCUAGGGCUUAACCCUGGACGUGCAGGCGAUACGGGCUGACUUGAGUACUACAGGGGAGACUGGAAUUUCUGGUGUAGCGGUGGAAUGCACAGAUAUCAGGAAGAACACCGAUGGCGAAGGCAGGUCUCUGGGUAGUAACUGACGCUGAGGAGCGAAAGCAUGGGUAGCGAACAGG
rnacentral:rRNA from 1 species